UUUCCCUAGGUGAACCUGCGGAAGGAUCAUUAUUGUAUAACCGAGGUGCGAGGGCUGUCGCUGACCCGAAAGGUCGUGCACGCCCGAGUGCCCUCACACACAUCCAUCUCACCCCUAUGUGCACCACCGCGUGGGUCCCCCUUUGGCUUGUUCGGAGGGGGGCUUACGUUUUCACACAAACUUUGUAUGCAGUGUAGAAUGUAUUUUUUGUUUUUGCGAUCACGCAAUCAAUACAACUUUCAACAACGGAUCUCUUGGCUCUC
rnacentral:misc_RNA from 1 species